CAGCCGCCGCGGUAAUACGAAGGGGGCUAGCGUUGUUCGGAAUCACUGGGCGUAAAGCGUGCGUAGGCGGCUAAUUGAGUCGGAUGUGAAAUCCCCGAGCUUAACUUGGGAAUUGCAUUCGAUACUGGUUAGCUAGAGUGUUGGAGAGGAUGGUAGAAUUCCAGGUGUAGCGGUGAAAUGCGUAGAGAUCUGGAGGAAUACCGAUGGCGAAGGCAGCCAUCUGGCCUAACACUGACGCUGAGGUACGAAAGCAUGGGGAGCAAACAGGAUUAGAUACCCCUGUAGUCCCUGUCUCUUAUAC
rnacentral:rRNA from 1 species